AAAUCCCAAAGUGGAGAUAGGCAAAAGAUUGAUUCUUUAAGGGCAUAUAGUUUUGUUUUCACUUACUAUUUCCAGCAAUUAGGGUAUCUUACAACUGUAAAAUGUGAACGUUAACUUAUAGAAAACUGAUAGCAAUUCAAAUUAUUUUUGUUCCAUAGCAUUGCAAAUGAAUUUUGUCUUAUAGAGAUGUAAAUCAUUUCUAUAUAGUAGAAAAGAUUAAAACAUAAGGUUUUAAAAUUCAAUUUAACAAUCUUAUUCUGAUAUUCCUUUUUUUCCAAUUAUAAUAUUUCUGCCUGUCCAGUACAUUUUUCAAUUAGCUUUAUUAUCCCCCUGGUUCCCUCAGCAGCUAACUAAAUCAAUCUUUGACACUUGCUAAUUUUAUAUUUGUAGAAGAGUCAUGUUUUUAAUGUUUUUGAAAAUUAUAUUUUGAUGAGCAUCGUGCAUAAAUAGAAAUGGUGAGUAAGCUCAGUUUUAGAGAAGUAAAAAUCUGCAUUUCUGUACAUUUACUUCACAAUGAAUGAUUAAAAACUUACCUCAUUUGUGUCAUAGGAUUAGUCAACCUGCGUGGGAAUUACUGUCUUCAAGAGAUCAGAACCUUUUCCCCACUAUCCCUUAGGCUUAUCUCUCAAGAAUAUCUACACACUGGGCAGAAUCUUACUUAUCUGACCCCCAGACAAGUACAUAGAGCAUUUUCAGUUUCUGUGUGUCACUGAUGUUCAUUUUAGGAUAACAGAUGGACAUGCAAAACAAAAACCAUAGGAAAACUACACAUUUAAGACCCCUAAAUUCUUUCAGCCAUCCUCCUUUGUCUAAAGUCCCUAGUGAUACUUCUGACCUAGUGACAGGAAGUUCUAUUAGAUUGUUUGCUUUUACAUGAACUUGUCCUUCCUUCUCCCUGGAAAUAAUCCUAAACAAAGAGUAGGUGGUCUUCUUUCUACAGGAAGUUCUUCUUAGCUCAUGUUCUAUAUAAGGCAUCAGAGUUGAACAGUGGGGGUCUGGUCUGAGAACACCCAGCCUUCAGCAUAUACACUUCUCCAGGGACCUUGCCAUGGAAAAGUUGUGGUUGCUGUCGUGUGGUGGUGGUGGGUUUUCUCAUGAAAUGGUCAAAAGAUGAGUGCCAAAGUGGAGCCCUUUCGAGUGCAGGAUUCAGGACAGCAGCCUCUCCUUCGUUAGUGUUGGAGAAUCAGCGCUACAUCACCACCUUGAAGCAAUGGAUCAUGUCUUAGCUAGUGUGUUCUAAUUUGAGUGAGAAAAAUACUAAGGAAAUAAGCAUAAAUUAAUAUGAAAAGAUUAUCCUGCCAGAGUAAAUCAGGAAUAAAGAUCUGACAGACACUGACUCUGUUAAACUCUACAAAACUGGACUUAUCAAAUGACAAACAACUAAAAUGUGAGAUUCCAUCACCACUCAACAUUGGGUCUUGAAUUAAUAAUUUGAUCUAAUUGGAUUUGUUUCUUUGUUAACUAAAAGCCUUUGAAUCCAGAAAAAGUGACUAAUUUCAAACAGUAGAAAGCCAUUUGUAUAGAACUUGCAUAGAAAUGCUGAUUCACCAGGCCAAAUUCUGCAUAUGUCUCUAUGAAGCUUGGCAAAUACAAACAAGGGAAGCUCAUUCACACUUUUAGGUUUCCAUAAACAAGGAUGACAGAGAAAAGGAUGAGCUGCUGAUGUUUUUCCAUUUCAUCCUGUGAACAUUGCAUUCUGGAAAUUAUCAGCAAGGCUAAGGUCUUUGGGCUCACCAUAAUUAGGUUGUUUUACAAAGAAUGCAGCUCAACUGGUCCUUACUUAGUUACUGUUGACAGUGCAAAUGCAUGCUGCACAGGAAAAGACAUACUUCACAGAGGCUCUGAGACAAUCCCAAAUAUGUACCUGCUGCAACACCGACUUCCAGUCACUGAAUACCAAAUGCAAGGGGAAGUAUUUCAGAUAUAUUUAAACUUCAAUUCACUCCUUAAACUUAACAUAAUUGAAGUGUUUAAAAGGAAAUACAUGGAAUAAUCCUGACUAUUCAAACAGGACUCUGCCAAUAUUUACUGUUUCUACUGACUACAUAUGAUGUGAUAUUUGCUUCCUACUUUAUUUCCCAUAAUCCCUGAACUGUUCCUAAUGAGGCAGUUAACAGUGUAAUCUCCCUGUUCUGGGAUUUAUGGCUGAAGAUAUUUAAGUAAUUUUUCAAUCACACCAAAUUUUCUAAGACAAAUAUCAUCUCCAUGAUCAUCAAGAAGAAGUCCUCAUCUUUGACAGAAGCAGCGUACAUCUGUUCUGAAACAUUAAGUGUAGUUCAGCCAAUGCAUGUUAAGAAAGACAGAGUAAAGCCAGAAAAUAAAUAAAAGGGAAACAAAUUACUGAAGGAAUGUAGAUGGUAGGGAAUGGGUGGGAGGAAACUACAUUAUGAGAGAAAAAAACCUCUAGUGUUUUUCAACCUGAAAGUUAGUGUGAUAGUUUAUUUGAAGUCUCUAAAACUUACUAACUUAAUGGACUGAGGACAACAUCUUAUUCUUCAAAUUCUGGUCAUAUUAGAGAUAAGAAAAUGCCCUUUGAAAAUAGAAAUAUGAAAAAUGUAAAACACAUAAAGGAAAAUACAUCACCCAAGCAAGGCAAUAAAUAAUCUAAUGCCAUCACAAAGGUAGUGUGAAUUAAAAAGGCCUGCCUCUUGCCUCUAAAAGUUUGGGCAUCUAAAGCCCUCUUCACUUUGUAUUGUGUUUCUUGCUUUCAGUCUAAGCUGAUAUGAUUCUUUAAAAAUUCUUGUUGAUUACUUAUGUAUCCAUUUAUAACCAACUCCAUUAGAUAAAAGCCAAAUCCACACACUACAAACCCUUGUAUAGUUAGGCUUCUUUUGAGAUUAUUGUGGGAGAACACCCUUAAGAAUCUUAGAAGCCCUAUUAUUUAACUGAAAUGAUAUAGCUGGGCAGGCAUUAAGAUCCUUAAAGGAGCUUUCCUCUGUUUGAAAUGUUUUAUGAGCAACUGUCUUAAAUACUUCUGAGGUAUUAACAAAGAUCUUAUAGACUCAUCCUGGAUUUGAUCCUUUCCAGAAGCCAAUUUUUAGUUUAGUAAUUGUUUUUAUAGAAUCUGGGUGUGAGAAACAAUUAUAUUUCAAACCCAGUAAGUUAUGGCUCUGUUAUAUUUAAUAGUUUAUUCUUUAGCUCAUCUUUCUUUCCUUGUAUUUUCUCAUAGGCAAUGAGAAAAAAAAAUAGUUGGCAUUUUGAAUAUUCCAUCUGGAAAUCUCCUUAGCUAGAUCACUGAGUUUGUUAGGUACAUUUCCUCUUUGCCACAUUAUCACAGAUGACUAUGUUGACAAACUCUGUCAUCACCUAACAAGGGUUCCCUUUCCUUCAGCUUCCAAUAAUAUUUUCUUCUCUUUCCUCUAAGGCUUUGGUGACAGCCUCCUCAUGGCCUCUUAGGUUUCCACUAACACUCUACUUGAGACCCUUUGGUUUUCACUGUCUCCUCAACCCCAUUCCAACUUCUUCCUACCGACCAGUUCCCAAACCAAUGACAUGUUGUACAUUUUUGUUAGUGCAGCAUCCCAUUUCUAGGUACCAAACUUAGUAGCAGUUACCUAUUGAUACAGAUACUAUCCCCAAAACUUAGAGGCCUAAAGAAACAACAGUCAUUUAUUUUGUUCAUGAAUCUGCAGUUUGAGCAGAGCUUAGCAAGGACAACUCGUUUCAACUCUACAUGGUAUCAUCUGUGAUGGCUUGACUGGCAAGUGGAGAAUCCACAUUUACGGUGUUUUCGCCUUCCUGACAGCAUGGUGGCCGGGUUCCAAGAUCAAGCAUCCUGAGGGAACCAGAUGGCAGUUCAUGGCAUUUUUUAUGCCCUAACCUUGAAAGUCACUUCUACUUCACUCUGUUGUUCCAAGCAGUCAUAAAGUUUCAACCAGUUUUAAGGGGAAGGGAUUUAGACUCCAGCUCUUGAUGAGGAAGUGGCAAGGUUUUAGAAGAGUAUGUGGGACAGGAGACAUUGUUGGUCUCAUCUUUGGAAAAUGUAAUCUUCUACACUAAGUAAAAAGUGAUUGCAUAAGGAAAUUAAUAUUUUGGGUAUAUUCUUUAUGACUGUGCCAAAACUGUGGAGAAGAAUCAAUACUUUAUAAUAUAGCCCUUGUUCCUCUUAGAGUAAAGAAAAUAUGUCUAGAUGGAUUAUAGAUCAGACCCAAUUUGCAAAUUUUUUUAUGCGCAUCUAAAAUGGACAUAUCCUGGGGUCAGCCCAGUGGUGCAGUGGUUAAUUUCACAGGUUCCACUUUAGCGGCCCAGGGUUCACCAGUUUGUGUGGACCUACACAUCAAUUGUCAAGCCAUACUGUGGCAGGUGUCCCACAUAUAAAGUAGUGGAAGAUAGGUACAGAUGUUAACUCAGGGCUAAUCUUCCUCAAAAAAGAAUGAAAAAGAAAAAAAGAUAAAAUAAAAUGAACAUAUCCUUGUAAAAUAUAACGAUCCUAAAAAUCAAGUAAUUUGGCAUAUUUUAAUCAAAAUAACUGUUUUUUAGUAACAAGAAAAAAAUGGUCAAUAUUUUCCAUCCAGAUCUAGUUAAGUUCCAUUUAACAAGUAUUUAUGGAAUAUCUGCAACAUACCGAGCACUGUGCUAGGUAUACUAUGGUGUAUAAGGUAUGUUCCUUCUUGGGAAAAAACUACCUUCUGUAUUUUGAAAGACAUACACUAAACAAUUAAUUACACCAUAGUAAGAUAAAAGAAAGAAAUUUUUAAAGGUCUGUACCAUAUCUACAUGAACAUUAAUGAAAUUGGACCCCUACCUCAAAUUAUGUAUAAAAAUAAAAACUCAAAAUCCAUGAAGAUCUGAAUGUAAGAGCUUAAACUAUAAAACUCUUUGAAGACAACGUAAGACUAAAUCUUCAUGACCUUGAGUUAGGCAAUGGUUUCUUGGCUAUGACAUCAAAAGCACAAGCAAUGAAAGAAAAAAAUAGAUCAACUGGACUUCAUUCAAAUUAAAAAGUUUUGUGUGUCAAGGACACCAUCAAAAAAGUGAAAAGACUGGGGCUGGCCCCGUGGCCGAGUGGUUAGGUUCGCGCACUCCGCUGCAGGCGGCCCAGUGUUUCGUUGGUUCGAAUCCUGGGCGUGGACAUGGCACUGCUCAUCAGACCACACUGAGGCAGCGUCCCACAUGCCGCAACUAGAAGGACCCACAAUGAAGAAUAUACAACUAUGUACGGGGGGCUUUGGGGAGAAAAAGGAAAAAAUAAAAUCUUUAAAAAAAAAAAAAAGUGAAAAGACAGCACCCAAAAUAGAAGGGAAAUUUUGCAAAUCAUACUUAUGAUAAG
rnacentral:lncRNA from 1 species